ACAGUGGUGGUUCAGUGGUAGAAUUAUCGCCUUCCAUGUGGGAGACAUGGGUUUGAUUCCUGGCCAAUGUG
rnacentral:tRNA from 1 species